rnacentral:lncRNA from 1 species
UGUGCUUGCACGAGGGCAGCGUGUGUUUGCCCAAGGGCGCUGCGCACGCACGUGAGGGCAGCGCACCCUCGCAUGAAGGCGCUGCGCGUUUGCAGGAGGGCGGUGGGCCCUCGCGCAAGGGCGGCGUGCAUUUGCGCCAUGGCAGUGGGAACCUGCGCGAGGGYGCUGUGCAUUGGCACAAGGGUGGCGUGUGCUUGUGCAAAGACGCAGUGCAUUGGCACGAGGGUGCUGUGCAUUGACAUGGGGGUGCUGCGCACUGGCACAAGGGUGACGUGCCCUUGCACAAGGGCCCUGUGCAUUUGCACGAGAGUGGUAUGCACUUGCACAAGGGUGCAGUGCAUUUGCACGAGGGUGCUGUGCWUUGGCCCAGGGGCUCUGUGCUCUUGCACAAGGGCACCGUGCAUUGGCCCAGGGGCGCUAUGCAUUUGCACGAGGGAGGUAUGCGCUUGCACGAGGGCGGCAUGCCGUUGCACAAGGGCGCUGUGCAUUUGCACGAGGGCACCGUGCAUUGGCCCAGGGGCGCUGUGCAUUUGCACGAGGGAGGUAUGCACUUGCACAAGGGUGUGGUGCAUUUGCACGAGGGCGCUGUGCAUUGGCCCAGGGGCUCUGUGCUCUUGCACGAGGGCGCUGUGCAUUCGCACGAGGGUGCCGUUCGUCGGUGCGGGGGCUCUGUGCCCUUGCAUGAGGGUGCUGUGCAUUCGCACGAGGGUGCCGUGUGUCGGCACGGGGGCUUGUGCUCUUGCACGAGGGUGCAGUGCCCUUGAACGAAGGCGCCGUGCAUUCGCACGAGGAUGCCGUGCAUCGACGCGGGGGCUCUGUGCUCUUGCACGAGGGUGCUGUGCAUUCGCACGAGGGUGCAGUGCCCUUGCACGAGGGCGCCGUGCGUCGGCGCGGGGGCUCGCACCGCUGCCCGAGGACGCUGCGAGGCCGUGCCCCCCCCGCCCCCCCCGCCGCAGGUGAGCGCCCAGCGCAAGGUGGGGGUGCUGUACUGCCGCGCGGGGCAGGGCUCCGAGGAGGAGAUGUACAACAACGAGGGCGCCGGGCCGCCCUUCGCCGAG